rnacentral:rRNA from 1 species
UACAGAGGGUGCGAGCGUUAAUCGGAAUUACUGGGCGUAAAGCGCGCGUAGGCGGCUUUGCAAGUCGGGUGUGAAAUCCCCAGGCCUAACCUGGGAACUGCAUUCGAGACUGCAUGGCUAGAGUAUCGGAGAGGGAAGUGGAAUUUCAGGUGUAGCGGUGAAAUGCGUAGAUAUCUGAAGGAACAUCAGAGGCGAAAGCGACUUCCUGGACGAAUACUGACGCUCAUGUGCGAAAGCGUGGGGAGCAAACAGG